rnacentral:rRNA from 1 species
UACAGAGAUCUCGAGCGUUUAGGCGGAAUCACUGGGCUUAAAGCGUGUGUAGGCGGAUCGUUAAGUACCUUGUGAAAUCCCACGGCUUAACCGUGGAACUGCUUGGUAUACUGGCGGUCUUGAGCCAGCUAGGGGCUACCGGAACAAAUGGUGGAGCGGUGAAAUGCGUAGAUAUCAUUUGGAACGCCAAUGGUGAAAACAGGUAGCUGGGGCUGUGCUGACGCUGAGACACGAAAGCCAGGGGAGCAAACGGG